GAUGAACGCUGGCGGCGUGCCUAAUACAUGCAAGUCGAGCGAACAGACGAGGAGCUUGCUCCUCUGACGUUAGCGGCGGACGGGUGAGUAACACGUGGAUAACCUACCUAUAAGACUGGGAUAACUUCGGGAAACCGGAGCUAAUACCGGAUAAUAUAUUGAACCGCAUGGUUCAAUAGUGAAAGACGGUUUUGCUGUCACUUAUAGAUGGAUCCGCGCCGCAUUAGCUAGUUGGUAAGGUAACGGCUUACCAAGGCAACGAUGCGUAGCCGACCUGAGAGGUUGAUCGGCCACACUGGAGCGUGGACACGGUCCAGACUCCUACGGGAGGCAGCAGUAGGGAAUCUUCCGCAAUGGGCGAAAGCCUGACGGAGCAGCGCCGCGUGAGUGAUGAAGGUCUUCGGAUCGUAAAACUCUGUUAUUAGGGAAGAACAAAUGUGUAAGUAACUAUGCACGUCUUGACGGUACCUAAUCAGAAAGCCACGGCUAACUACGUG
rnacentral:rRNA from 1 species